GACGUAGGGUGCGAGCGUUGUCCGGAUUUAUUGGGCGUAAAGAGCUCGUAGGCGGCUCGUCGCGUCGACCGUGAAAACCCGCGGCUUAACUGCGGGCUUGCGGUUGAUACGGGCGGGCUAGAGUUCGGUAGGGGAGACUGGAAUUCCUGGUGUAGCGGUGAAAUGCGCAGAUAUCAGGAGGAACACCGAUGGCGAAGGCAGCUCGCUGGGACGGUACUGACGCUGAGACGCGAAAGCGUGGGGAGCAAACAGG
rnacentral:rRNA from 1 species